rnacentral:misc_RNA from 1 species
GGUGGUGCUGUUGUCCUCGCACAGGAUCGUCGGAAACAUCGCCAAAAUAUCUUCGUUCGAGGAAGACUACCGGGCUGACAGGCCCAUGGUGCAGCGCGCCUCUUCCUCGGAUGCACCCUCCGUUCAGGGUGGCCAACAUCGAGAGUCUCGAUUUGGCCUUGGAUACCCAUCCUACCAGAGUGGAUACAACAAACUAUUCACACAGGGUUCUGCCGACUCGAACUACUCACAACCGUCAUCCGAUCUGUCGCUAGACGAGGAAAAGGAAUCGCUUCGGCGAGAAAAGGAACGUCAGGCCUUAAGCCAGUUGGAUAAAGCGAGGAGCAAACCAGUGGCGUUCGCUGUGCGAACCAACGUAGCAUACGAUGGCGCCAUCGACGACGAUUCGCCGGUGCAGGGCGGAGCAGUUUCGUUCGAGAUCCGGGAGUUCCUGCACAUCAAAGAGAAGUACGACAAUAACUGGUGGAUCGGCCGGCUGGUCAAGGAGGGCUGUGAUGUGGGCUUCAUACCCAGCCCCGCUAAGCUAGACAACAUUCGCAUGCAGAACCAAACCAGACCCUCAAGACUGUAUGGCACAAAGGGCUCGUCGAGCGGGAAUCUUGGUGCGGGCGGACAAGCAGGUGCGGAGCCAUCUCGAGGUAGCACACCCCCCACACCUGAUCCCUACAGUACAACACCGCGCAAGAAAAACAAAGAUUCCAUGGGACCAGGACGACACGGCAAGACACCGGCGGCGGCGGCCAACAAGGAGAAGCGAAAGCCGUUCUUCAAGAAACAGGAGACGGCCAGUCCCUACGACGUGGUGCCCUCGAUGCGUCCCGUUGUCCUGGUGGGGCCCAGUUUGAAGGGCUACGAGGUGACCGACAUGAUGCAGAAGGCCCUCUUCGACUUCCUCAAGCACCGCUUCGAGGGCCGCAUCAUCAUCACCCGGGUGAUGGCCGACAUCUCGCUGGCCAAGCGCUCCAUCAUGAACAAUCCCUCGAAGCGGGCCAUCAUGGAGCGAUCCUCCAGCCGGAGCGACUGCCUCGGCAAGGUGCAGGAGGAGAUCGAGCGCAUCUUCGAGCUGGCCCGCUCGCUCCAGCUGGUCGUGCUCGAUUGUGAUACAAUCAAUCAUCCGUCACAACUAGCGAAAACUUCAUUAGCGCCAACAAUAGUGUACUUAAAGAUUAGUAGUAGUAAGGUUUUACAGCGUUUGAUCAAAUCACGUGGCAAGUCGCAGGCGAAAAACCUCUCCGUUCAAAUGGUUGCCGCCGAGAAGCUAGCCCAAUGUCCACCGGAUAUGUUCGAUGUAAUCCUAGACGAGAAUCAGCUGGAAGACGCCUGCGAGCACAUUGCCGAGUACUUGGAGACGUACUGGAAGGCCACCCACCCGGACAUUCGAGCAGUGCCGCCCAUCGCCCGCCCCCUGCCGCAGGAGGCCUCGCCCUCCGCAGAUCCCGCACGUCUGGGACCAACGCCUCCAGUAGAUGGCGAGGAGUUUGUCGAUGAGCAGGAUCCCAGGAUGGGCAUGUCCGGCGGAGAGCGCGAGGGAAGUCGGGAGCGAGACCGCGAUAGCAGGGAGAGGGAGAGGGAGCGCGAACGGGAGCGGGAUUACUGGGAUCGGGAGUUCAACAGAGAUCGCAGCUCCAAGGAUCGCGAAAGGGAUCUCGAGUGGGAGCGGGAACGGGCUCGCGAGUGGGAGAGAGAGCGGGAACGAGAUUGGGAUAGGGAGUUCGAUUGGGACCAAGGUAAAUUUCGUUAAUACUGUUUCUUUUCGUUUCAUUUCCUUUUGUACCGAUAAUAUAUACGUAAACUCAUUAAGUAUCACUUGCCCCCAGAAAUCGAGUUAAAGAUAGCAUUUGAUGAUACUGAAAGCUUAGCUAGAACCACCUCGUCCCAAGUUAGCAGUCCAGUUGAAGUUGUAGCCCAUUGUAACUCUCUUGCGUUUUUGUACAUAGACCGAGGUGAAUAGUAGCUUCGGCACCGACUCACAUCUCCACCCAUCUCGAUUGUAUGUAGCUGCAGCUCAUGGCAUUUACUUAGAACUUUCCCGCUUUCUAGACACAUUUUGUACAUAUAGCUCAGAAACAACAUCACUGGUAUCCUCAACUUUUCGUUUAUUUUCUAUCGUUUCUAUUUUGUGACCACACUUUACAGCAUUCACAGCACGUGACAUACCCGGUCCCUUUACAACAAUGCUAUAGAUCAAAACGAGUUCAAAUCCAAAUCAAGCACCACGACCAACACAACUGCGACAUCAACAGUACAAAAUGCCAAAGACAAUUGAACCCGAAUUGAAAUUGAAAUUGAAAUUGAAAACCAAAAGCAAAAACCAAAUCAACUGGAACUAGCAAAACUAGCACCCACCGACCGACAUCUCCGACGAUCUCCACCAGUACAACUCUUUGCCAAGUCAAGACAUCCACGACAUCCAUGUGAUGAGGAGGAACCUCUUACCAGCACAGCCGCCGACAACCGACCUCGGUACGCCACCAGGAGCGCGGCGGUGGAGUGGGCGCAGGCGGCGGA